GCGCGCGCGGCGGGGGCCACAGCAGCGGACAACCCAGGAGCGCAACUUCGAAGACCGUCCCUACCCUCAGCCUCUGCUCAGACUGUGUUCACUCGUAAGUGCCUGCUUUCCGAAUCAAAGAGAACACGUGAGCCCUUUCGUGAGUCGGGAGAAAGGUAGCAACCUUUAGGGAUGAAGGGAAAGGGACGCAGUUCCAUACCUCUCCCUCUUGCCCAGACAGGUCACGGUCUCCGAAGAUAAGCCGAGGGCUAGGAGCCGUGGGGGUGAGCCACCACUGGAGACUGCUGCGCGCGGUCAGGGAGAUCAGCUCCUAGGUAUGAUUGAAUCCCUCCCUUACGGAGAACACCCACCCUCCACCAAAAAAAAACUUGCUAUCUUCCUGGCCAAGUAUAGUCACAGCUGAUGGCUCACAAUUUGAUGAGGAAUACCCAGGAUAUCCAGUUAGGGGGUGUACCUAUUGAAGAUACAGCAUUUAGGUAUAUUGAAGACCGUAUUUGUAAUAAGGUACAGUUGGGCUUUUGAUUUUUCAAUUACUGAGAAGAUAUUUAUAUUUAUUUGUCUUUUAUUUUUAUAUUUUUACCAUGGAUUGAACGUAUCAGGAGUGUGUGCAGUUAAUGACAUGAUAAUCGUCUUUUCCUCUUUUUUAGGUCUUAAUGGCCUAAAUUGUCAUUAUUGUUUAAUAAAAUGUUGGACAUUAUUUCAUUUACAAUGGGGGAAAAAAGGAGGCAUGGUCAAACGAGAAAACAUAUGUGACAUAAAACACAUGACGGAUAUCUUAUUUUCACUAUUUGAGAUGAAUAUAUUUUAUUUUUAGUACUGUGUCAUAACAUAUAACUUUUUGUAAUAACUAUAGAUUGUGUAGUCUAGGUCUUAAUUGUGUCAUUCACCACAUAGUUAUAUGUAGAAAUGAUUGAUACACGUAUGCCGUACCAUGAAGCAUGAUGUCAUGCACUUUUCCCUCUAUUUUAAAAUACAUUCCACAACAUGAUACAAAACAUAAGAACUUGUGACUUGUGACUUCUCUUCAAAGCCAUAAUUGUGCAAGUAAUGUACUACAGAAGGAUUUAGUCAACCUAUCCUAAGAAAAAAAUAAAUGUCAUUGUAUCAGUUCCACCAUCCUAUGAAAUGUCCUUUAAGCAAAUGGUAAUUUAAAAUAAUAUAUUAAAAUGCAUAUGUAUAAUGUACAUAUGUAUAUUGUCUAUGUACAAUAUACACAUUGUAUACCAUAUAAUUAUUAUACUUUAUGAUUGUCAUGAAAAGUAGGAAACAAAAGGUUUCUCUGCUUGUGGAAAGAUGAGUGUUAUUAAGAAAGAUUUUACACGGGAACCACACAUAUGUACCUAGAAACACUGAUUUUAUGAUCGAAAACUUUGACAGUCCUGAAAUUGUAUUAGAAGAAACUGAUGAUUUGAUUAAUUUGAGAAAUGAUUUAAUUGAGAAAUUAAUGUGAGAAAAUGAUUUAAACUUUUAAAGGCGAAUAGAAAAAGUCUGGCAGUUCUAAGAAAUCUUAAAAUGUCUGAAUUGUAAUAGAACAGAAUGGUUUACUCUAAAGUUCUAAAAGCUAAUGACCCUGUCAUUGAAAUCAUUUGAAGUGUAUUAAAGCAUAGAAAAACAUUAAAAUCUUUCUGUAAAUUGUAUCAGAUGUGUGACUAUAUGGUAUGUAUUAAAAUAUGAAAUGUGUAUCUUUGUUAUUUAUAAGCAGUCUUAAGCUGUGAGUUGGCAAAACAAUGAGUUAAGACUACAUGAAUUGACAAUGGCACAAGAUUUAAUGAAAUCAUAGCAUAUUGAAUAAUUGCGUAUAUUCACGUUAGUCAAACACUAUAAAUCUUAGUUUUACGUGUGGCUAUCAAUACUACCCACCAUUCAAACAAACUGGAAAGUUGCCUUAAUCUUUUAAAUUAUUUAUCCUUUGAGGGUACACUGUUUUAGACACUUCUUCAAAUUCACCAUAUAUGAAACAUCAACAUAAACAUCCAUAUAUAUAUCCAUCCUGUAUGUUGUUGCUAUUACUAACAUCUUGACCUUUGCAACAAAAUCUUGUAAAAAUAUACUUAUAAUAUGAAUCCAGUAUAUUUCCUUUGUAUCAACUAUGGAACAAUUCUCUCCCUAAAAUUCAGAAUGUCUGUAAUGUAACACUAAUCAUGAAGGAGAUUACACUAAAUUUUAAAAUUACAACAAACUACGUUUGGUUUUUUUCCUAGUCAUCACAUAAGCUUUUAUGCACAUCCCUCAUUUAAUAAAAAUGAGUUUGAC
rnacentral:lncRNA from 1 species